rnacentral:rRNA from 1 species
UACGAAGGGGGCGAGCGUUGUUCGGAAUUACUGGGCGUAAAGGGCGCGUAGGCGGUCGGCCGCGUCAGAUGUGAAAGCCCCGGGCUCAACCUGGGAACCGCAUUUGAGACGGGUCGACUCGAGUUCGGGAGAGGAUGGUGGAAUUCCCAGUGUAGAGGUGAAAUUCGUAGAUAUUGGGAAGAACACCGAGGGCGAAGGCAGCCAUCUGGACCGACACUGACGCUGAGGCGCGAAAGCCAGGGGAGCAAACGGG